CCUACGGGAGGCAGCAGUGGGGAAUAUUGGGCAAUGGGCGCAAGCCUGACCCAGCAACGCCGCGUGAAGGAAGAAGGCUUUCGGGUUGUAAACUUCUUUUAUCAGGGACGAAGCAAGUGACGGUACCUGAUGAAUAAGCCACGGCUAACUACGUGCCAGCAGCCGCGGUAAUACGUAGGUGGCAAGCGUUAUCCGGAUUUACUGGGUGUAAGGGGCGUGUAGGCGGGUGUGCAAGUCAGAUGUGAAAACUAUGGGCUCAACCCAGAGCCUGCAUUUUAAACUGUACUUCUUGAGUGCUGGAGAGGAAAGCGGAAUUCCGGGUGUAGCGGUGAAAUGCGUAGAGAUACGGAGGAACACCAGUGGCGAAGGCGGAUUGCUGGACAGUAACUGACGCUGAGGCGCGAAAGCGUGGGGAGCAAACAGGAUUAGAUACCCUUGUAGUC
rnacentral:rRNA from 1 species